rnacentral:rRNA from 1 species
UACAGAGGUCUCAAGCGUUGUUCGGAUUCAUUGGGCGUAAAGGGUGCGUAGGCGGCGCGGUAAGUCGGGUGUGAAAUCUCGGAGCUUAACUCCGAAACUGCAUUCGAUACUGCCGUGCUUGAGGACUGGAGAGGAGACUGGAAUUUACGGUGUAGCGGUGAAAUGCGUAGAUAUCAAGAGGAACACCAGUGGCGAAGGCGAGUCCCUGGACAACACCUGACACUGAGGCACGAAAGCUAGGGGAGCAAACAGG